UACGUAGGGUGCAAGCGUUGUCCGGAAUUAUUGGGCGUAAAGAGCUCGUAGGCGGUUUGUCGCGUCUGCUGUGAAAAUCCAGGGCUUAACCCUGGACCUGCAUCGGGUACGGGCAGACUAGAGUGCGGUAGGGGAGAUCGGAAUUCCUGGUGUAGCGGUGAAAUGCGCAGAUAUCAGGAGGAACACCGGUGGCGAAGGCGGAUCUCUGGGCCGUAACUGACGCUGAGGAGCGAAAGCAUGGGGAGCGAACAG
rnacentral:rRNA from 1 species